ACACACACACACCCGCCACGCGUACACACGCAGCCACGGACACACACUCUCUCCUUUCUCUCUUUCACUGUGCUGCAGUGAAGCCCGUGGCCCUGCAGCCCUGCUGAUCUGCAGCCAGCCGAAGACGCAUCCUCCAUCCGGUCACACUUCCAGGCUCUGCCCGCUGUGACAGUGGACCUAACGUCGCCAUACUUUGUGGACAUGGGAGACAUGGGGGACCCGCCGAAAAAGAAGCGGCUUGUCUCUCUAUGCGUGGGCUGCGGAAACCAGAUCCACGACCAGUACAUCCUUCGGGUCUCCCCGGACCUGGAAUGGCACGCUGCGUGUCUCAAGUGCGCCGAGUGCAGCCAGUACCUGGACGAGUCGUGCACUUGCUUCGUGCGGGACGGAAAGACUUACUGUAAACGGGACUAUAUCAGGUUAUACGGUAUCAAAUGCGCCAAAUGCAACAUCGGCUUCAGCAAGAACGACUUCGUGAUGCGGGCCCGCACCAAGGUUUACCACAUCGAAUGUUUCCGCUGCGUGGCCUGCAGCCGUCAGCUCAUUCCCGGAGACGAGUUCGCACUGCGGGAGGACGGUCUCUUCUGCCGGGCGUACCACGACGUGGUGGAGCGGGCGAGUCCCGGAGCAGAACCAAUCUCGGCCCGUCAGCCUGCGCUGCGGCCUCACGUCCACAAACAGCCGGAGAAGACCACCAGGGUUCGAACGGUUCUGAAUGAAAAGCAGCUGCACACGCUGCGGACAUGUUACAACGCCAACCCGCGGCCCGACGCACUCAUGAAGGAGCAGCUGGUGGAAAUGACCGGCCUCAGCCCGCGGGUCAUCCGGGUCUGGUUCCAGAACAAGCGCAGCAAGGACAAGAAGAGGAGCCAGUUGAUGAAGCAGCUACAGUCUCAGCAGACGAGCGACAAAACGAACAUCCAGGGAAUGACGGGCACUCCGAUGGUGGCAGCCAGUCCGGAGCGACACGACGGCGUCAUCCAGGCCAACCCGGUGGAGGUGCAGAGCUACCAGGCGCCGUGGAAGGUCCUCAGCGACUUCGCCCUGCAGAGUGACAUCGACCAUCCGGCCUUCCAGCAGCUGAGUCUCAUUCAAAUUGGAGUCAAAGGAGAAAUUAUGGAGAACAAGAGAGAGUCAAACAAUGCAGACACACAGUGAAAGGAACAGAAGAAGGAAAAAAUAAAGAGUUACCAGGAAGUGCAGAAGCAUCAAAACAUGGGACUUUCCAUUUUUGGACAUACACUUUGAUAUUGUCACACAGAGUGUGAUAGGUUUUACAUUAGGAUCUAUUAUAUGUCGAUAACCCUCUUGUAUUUGAUGUUCAUCAAUAUUACAAUAUCAGCAUGUUCUGCAGGUCUGUAGGUCGGGGGCUCAGGCAGGAGGCGCAUGGAGAAAGUCCGGGUGGCCACCUUUACACCCUCUAGUUCUCCCUCAUCUGGAUAAGAGCUGUUCUGUCAGUUUCUCAGAGGGGGGGCCGGGUUCAAACUCGACGGGCAGUGAGGUGGCGUCCAUGUCGUCGCAGCUUCCAGACACGCCAAACAGCAUGGUAUCCAGCCCCAUCGAGGCCUAAGAACAUUUUGGUGGACACGUGGAAAUGGACUGAUGUGACUGGACAGACACAAACAAACACACACUGCUGAUCCAAACCUACCACGGCCACCACCACCCUUUCUAACAGACUGACCUGACCGAGCCCGCCUACCCUGGUUGCAUUUUGACACUGUGAAGACAAUCAUGGCAUUUUACCACAUUAGAACCAGAUCGUAAUAAUGUUCCACCGAGAGACAAAGAAUAUGGACAUCCUGAGGAUGGACCUCAGAGUGUCUCCAUCUAUCCAUCCAUGCGUCAUUGUGUUACACACCUGGUUAAAGUUGCCAAAAGGAGGAGAAAAUAAACAUUGGGUCCAUCGUCAAAUGGGAAAUGGGAAUAAGAAGCUGCGCAGGAUGUUGUGCAACUUGAAAACUUUUUCUAAAAAAAAAGGAAAAGAAAUAAUGCACUUCAUCCUGUAUUAAGAUUGUUGGGAGGGAACAACACUGCUUUUUCUUUGUUAAAUUCCCACCAGCUCCCCAGAAAAAAACAAAACAAAAAAAAAAAAACACCAAGUACUAAAAAAAAAAGCAUUUUUCAACAAAGUAUACCUCUAUUUUGCCACAAGGUUUGUGGGACAUUUGGUGUCUGUCUGAGACCGUUUGGAUUUUUUUUGUUUUGUUUUCUUAUUUUUCCCAAAGAUGUGUAAAUUAGUAUUUCUUUAAGUUAAAAGAAAAAGACUGUUAUAGCUCUGGAAGAAAAUGUUUUUGUUUGUUGUAUUAUUUAUUAUUGAAAAU